rnacentral:misc_RNA from 1 species
GGAAAAGUUUGGACGUAGCAAGAAAUAUGCCUUACGCAAGAGACAGAGUCGUGGAAUGCUAUUUUUGGAUGAUGGGCUUAUACUAUGAACCUGAAUAUUCCAUUGGAAGAAGUAUAAUGACAAAAGUCAUAGCCACUACAUCCUUGUUAGAUGACACUUACGAUAACUAUGCUACAUGUGAGGAACUGGAGCUUUUAACAGAAGCAAUCGAAAGGUGGGACAUUAAGGCC